CCUACGGGGGGCAGCAGUCGAGAAUUUUUCUCAAUGGGCGCAAGCCUGAAGGAGCGACGCCGCGUGGGGGAUGAAGGGUUUCGAUCCGUAAACCCCUGUCAUUUGUGAACAAAGCUUGGUCGUGAAUAUCGGCCAAGUUGAUAGUAAUGAAAGAGGAAGGGACGGCUAACUCUGUGCCAGCAGCCGCGGUAAUACAGAGGUCCCGAGCGUUGUUCGGAUUCACUGGGCGUAAAGGGUGCGCAGGUGGCAUGGCAAGUUUGAUGUGAAAGCUCAGG
rnacentral:rRNA from 1 species